GAUGAACGCUAGCAGGACGCCUAACACAUGCAAGUCGAACGGUUCUCCGUUUUGAUCUAAUUUUCUUCGGAAAUGAAGUAAUAAACAUUGAGAACAGUGGCAAACGGGCGAGUAACACGUAUCUAACCUGCCCCAAAGUUGAGAAUAACGGUGGAAACGCCGCUAAUUCGCAAUGUGGUCAUAGAAAUGAAAAUACUAUGAUUAAAGCUUUAUGCGCUUUGGGAGGGGGAUGCGGCCUAUUAGAUAGUUGGUGAGGUAAAAGCUCACCAAGUCGAUGAUGGGUAGCCGAUCUGAGAGGAUGUACGGCCGCAAUGGGACUGAGACACGGCCCAUACUCCUACGGGAGGCAGCAGUGGGGAAUCUUCCGCAAUGGGCGAAAGCCUGACGGAGCGAUCCUGCGUGGAGGACGACGCCUUACGGGGUGUAAACUCCUUUUUUGGUGGAAGACGACUGACGGUACACCAAGAAUAAGGGACGGCUAACUACG
rnacentral:rRNA from 1 species